AAAUACUCCAGGCACUCCAAUAGGUUCCAAGAUUUAAGGCAAUUUAUUUGAACCAAAUAAAUUGCAUUAAAUCUUGGAACCUAUUGGAGUGCCUGGAGUAUU